rnacentral:rRNA from 1 species
GAUGAACGCUGGCGGCGUGCCUAAUACAUGCAAGUCGAGCGAACAGACGAGGAGCUUGCUCCUCUGACGUUAGCGGCGGACGGGUGAGUAACACGUGGAUAACCUACCUAUAAGACUGGGAUAACUUCGGGAAACCGGAGCUAAUACCGGAUAAUAUAUUGAACCGCAUGGUUCAAUAGUGAAAGACGGUUUUGCUGUCACUUAUAGAUGGAUCCGCGCCGCAUUAGCUAGUUGGUAAGGUAACGGCUUACCAAGGCGACGAUGCGUAGCCGACCUGAGAGGGUGAUCGGCCACACUAGAACUGAGACACGGUCCAGACUCCUACGGGAGGCAGCAGUAGGGAAUCUUCCGCAAAGGGCGAAAGCCUGACGGAGCAACGCCGCGUGAGUGAUGAAGGUCUUCGGAUCGUAAAACUCUGUUAUUAGGGAAGAACAAAUGUGUAAGUAACUAUGCACGUCUUGAUGGUACCUAAUCAGAAAGCCACGGCUAACUACGUG